AGGCCACCCGCCAGCCCCGCGCUCCACCGGGCAGAGCGCGUGCGGCUGCCGAGCACAUGGACCCGCUGGUCGAGCGGACUCCCCAAGGCCAGGAUGAAGAGGAGCUGCGACCCAGUACCCUCAGAGCCCCCUGAGUGGAUAUCCACGCGGAAAGGAUGUUGGCAGCCCCGGUGACCUGGGAGUCACGGCCGGAUCUACCCUCCGGGUGUCAUACAUCCUAAGAUGGCCCCAAACUUACCGUGUAACUAAGGACAACCAUGGACUGCUGAUCCUUCCUCUUCUUGUUAAGUGCUGAGAUUAAAGGCCUGACCUUCUUAACAUGGCUAUGGUAAGAAGAUGUCCUCCAACAGGCUGUGCUUGCAGACUACAUGGAGCCUCUCUUGGGGAUUUUUCUGAACCCUGUGGAUUUACAGUAAGACCCAGUUUCCUGGGGAGUGAUGCUGGUGGAUGAAGAUUCUGGAAUAACACACCUGCCUUGCCUUGGGAUGCUACAAGUGGCCCAAUGGAUUCUUCCAGCCUAGAUGCCCACUGGGGACAAGGACCAUAGCUGAGAGGACUGCAUCUCUACCCUUGACUCAAUGGGAAUGUCUGUUUUCAUCUCUUAGGCAACUUGGAGCUCCCUCUAACAUCAUACCUGUUGAGCAUUCCAGAAGGAUGCUGAGAAUCAUCUUUUUAUAAACAAAAAGCUGGACUAUUUGAGAUGAGAUCUCUACUUAAGAGAUGCCAAGUAACUCAACAGAAAUCACACAACUGAUAAAUAGCAAAGGUGGAGGUCUUCAGGCUGGAUGCCAUUCUAUAAGACAGUUGAGCUCUCCAGAGCUGAUAGGAUACUGAUGGACUUGCACAGCGAUGACAUUGGCCCUAAGAGAAUGAGAAUCUCUUUGCAGAAGGCGUAGAAGAUUCCUGAAACUGGAAAAUGUGCAUAGAAAAAGUCAAAGAAGAGUGAAGAAAGCACUUUCCCUCCCCUCCCUGAGCAUCUUCCGCCACACUCAACACUUCACCAAGGCUCUGGUCACCGCUGUGCUGUCCUCUUUCAAUUUGGCUUGAUGAAAUAUUAGUCUGGAAAUUUUACUUUCAAUUAAACUCACUUGUUGAACUGCCUCCACCUUCAAAGGAUUCCAUUAGGCUAAUUAUAGCUAUUGCUACAAGGCAUUAUUUGCACUCAAUUUCAGCUUUUAGGCAAUUCAGUUCAAAUGUUUUAUGUUUUUACCCUGCAGAGCACCUUUUAUAACACCUAUCAGCAAUAUGAAAGCUAUCUAGCAGAAAGGAAAACUUCACCUCCCUUACAGCUUAAUUUAUCUUCAUAUCAUAACUGAGGUGAGUGUUAUCUUCAGCAUUAGUAUUGACUAGUUCUGGUGAGCAGCCAAUAGCAAGAGCUUCCUUAACAAAGAAACACAUAGUGAUGGAUCUCAUGUCUGUCAUAGUCAUGGCACUUUUCAUUUUAAAAAAACAUUGCUUUCAUUGCAACCAUCCUGAAGAUACCUGAUAAACUAGGGCCAGACAGAAGGAGAAGAGGACACCCCCUCUCAGUGGACUCGGAAAGGGGCAGGGAAGAAAUGAGGGAGGGAGGGGAGGAGUGGGAGGGAAAAAGGGAGUGGGCUACAGCUGGGAUACAAGUGAAUGUAUAAAAUUAUUUAAAAAUAAAAAAAUAAAAAUUAAAAAAAAUAAAUUUGAGAAAUGAAAAAAAAAAACAUUGCUUUUAGAAGUAGCAUCAUCCAACCAUAUGUGAUAUAAAUCUUCUAAUUUCUUAACUAUUUUAAUUGACUUACAAUGUGAUAGGUUUCCAUAUGGUUUUUGCAUACCCUUGUUUUGAUUAAUUCUCACAUCCCCUGCCUCUUCAUUUCCCCAUGUCCCACCUCUAACUCUGCUUUGUUCUUGCUCUUCCCCCUUUCUACUUCCAUAUUGCCUAAGCUCCACUUGCCUCCCUCCCUUAAGUCAUCGUUGUCCCUGAUGGCCCCUUCUAGUUUUCCAGCUUCCAUACUUCCUGCAGGUUAAAAAACACAAACGUGAAGAUUCAACGAUAGGACCCAUAUAUGAGAAAGAACAUGUGCCUGGUAUGGUGAAGGGAAAAACAUCUGCCAAAAUAACAUCGGAAGUUUAAAACCACACUCAUUGUGACUAUUUCACCUGGUGUUUCAAGUCUCGCCUGACCGGCUGAUAGGUCAUUUCAUGAGUCUCUGACAAGACUUGAGAGACCAUCAAAGCCCAGCAGGUCUUCUUUUGCAAGAGAAUCUUCAGGUGUUCUAGGCCAUUGGGACACAUGCCAAGCCCUUCAGAGAGCCACAAGAAUAGCCCAGAGGAAGUUCUAAACCACUGUGAUUCAUGGGUAGUCUUUUCUCUCCUGAAACCUAAGCCAUGGGGUAUUCCCCCUCUUUGUAGCUCAGGACCUCAAGGGUCACUGGCUUGUCUUCAUAUGCCUAAGGUGGCUUUGCCUCACCAGGAAAGGUGUGCCUUGCCCUAUGGCAGGAAAACUCUGGCCCUUGGUCUGUAGAUGUUGUGGUUGCAGGUGAGAGAUCAUUAUGAAGAAGUAUGAAAGGUACAAAAGGAGCAGUAACCCUGCAGCGUCUGAGGGUUUUGUGUGCCUCCAUUCCUGAGUGCCACUUUGCUCAUGUGUUCCCGGGGUUGAGUAGAUUUCUGUAUGAAUGGGCUGAUACAUUUCUCUGUACCAAGAUGCUAAGAACACAUGACUAAACCUCUUCCAUUCUCUGCUUCCUACCAGCUAGGCCAACUGGUGAAAUGAAGCUAUGCAAUAGCCACUUUACCCUCUCCUUUUUUUUUUUUCUUUUUUUAUGGGGAGGGGGAACCAAAACCAUACUUUUUUCUGGGUGUGAUGGGGCACAGCGGUUAUUGAGGCCGGAAGAACAAGAUUUCCGAACAAGCCUGAGUUAAAGUCCAAAACCCUGUCUCAAAACAGGAGUAAUGUAACUUAGAGGUUCUGAACUCUAAGUAUCUAGAACACACACACACACACACACACACACACACACACACGAGCAAAAGGAAUGGAGAAGAUUUCAUUGGCAAAAUGUACAUGGCCAAUUGAUGAUAUAAAUUAGAGGAUGAUGAAGUUCUUGCUGCUGUUAAUAGUUGAUUUUCUUGACUAUAUUUAUUUGAAUCUCUUGUAGGUCAAUUCAAAUCAAGUUGUCUCCUGCCACCCCAUAUUUCACAUUCUCAGCCCUCAUACCAUGUAUAAUCAAUCACAACUGGUAAACUUUCAAAAAGAAGUCAACUUACCCUAUGAGUCAUAGAUCCUUGACUGGAAUAGCUUGAUGUGAGGAAGACUCACAUAAAUUCCUUGGCCUCUUAAUUUCAGCUUCUGGAAACUCCUUUCUUCCAGGGGCUUCCCCAAGGAACAGGGCAUGGGGUAUACAGACACUCCACAGCCCUGGCUGAAUUCUGCUUGACACCAGCUGUUCCAUUUUCUUUCUGUCGUUAUACCUCUCCUCCCUCAGAAAUGCCCCAACUGGGAAGAUUUCAAGUUUUAGAUAGACUACUCUGGGAGGCUUUAAAGACAUAUUUAAUUCUUUCCCAUGUAUUUCCCUAUUGCAGCUCCCCUGAAAGGAAUUAGAAAGCGGAGUUGUACAGAUUGAGUAAGCUAGUACGUGUAUUAUUAAUCUCUCCCACUUUGUGUAUCGCCGUUUUCUGUUGAUCUUUGCAUGCAGGCAGCACAUCUGGUGACUUUGCCAUGUCCACACCGAAUGCCUAAACUUCAGGGGGGUCCAUUUUGGUUUCACAUAAGCAGUCCUCUGCCAUCUAGCUGUAACUUAGCUAUAGCUAAGUUCCCCCAAAGUUGUUAAACUUUGAGAAGAAUGAGGGACGAGAGUUCUUUGCCCCUGAAUUGACCUACCAGGGGAGUGAGAGCUACAGUUCUUAGCUUUACUAUCCAUUCUUGUCUUCUCUCCCUUUGUUCUCUAUAUGCUAGACCUGUGAAGUACAUACUCAUAUCUGAGCAAGUAUAUUGAAAAUAUUGGUUAUUUAUAAUAUCAUGGGCCUUUGCAAUAUAAGAACAAUUGUUCUAUAUAACUGAUGUCUGUCAUUCUGUAGAUCACUCCCCACAAAUCACUUUAUUUUUCCAUCCAUAGUUUUCUUCCAGCAAUGCCUAUGUUAUUCCAUAACUUUUCAACUACAUGUCAAAAUUUCCUUUUAUCCAAAUCAUUGUUAGCAACAAAACCUAAUUUCCUAACUUUCCUUCUGUAUGUAAAAUUUUACUUCUAGUAUGCCCUGUAUCCAACAAUAAUGACAGAAGCAUACUCACUGAAUUAAAGAAUGUAAAUGUCACUCUGUAUGGUUACUUGUGUUUAAAUGAAUGGAUUUGUUUUUUGUUUGUUUGUUUUUGUUUGUUUGAAUGGGUAUAGAUUUAUCAAGAAAUCUGAUGAGAGCCAGCUGGGGGUGCCACACCCUUCUAAUCCCAGCACUAGAGAGACAGAGGCAGUCCUCUGAGUUUGAGGACGGCCUGGUCUGCAGAAUGAAUUCCAGGACAGCCAGGGCUACACAGAGAAACCCUGUUUCAAAAAGGAAAAAAAGAAAAAAAAAUCCAUUGAGUUGUACUGUUUCGCUUUUUCUCACACCAUCUUAUUACUAAAAUCUUGCAUUGUGGUAGUACAUUUAUUAGAAUUUAUGUAGCAGUAUUAAUACCUUCUGAGUGAUACUCAUAAGUGUCACCUUAUGAGUGACAUUGGGGUUCACUACUGGUGUCCUGUGGGCCUAUGGGGCUUGAUCAAUUCCUAGUGUUGCAAAUCGGCUAUCACUGGAUCAAAGUUUAACUGCCUUAGAAAUCCCCUGCACUCUGGGAAUUCAUUGUUCUCUCCCUUUUCCUUACCCUUAGCAACCACUGGUCCUUUAGUAUCUCUGUAGUUGUAUAGUUUUGAGACUAUCACAUGGUUGGAGCCACAUAAUAGGUAGCCUUUACAUACCUGUUUGUUUUUUUUUUUUUUGUUUGUUUGUUUUUUGCAUAUGACUCCUUUAAUAUGUUAUUUAUGAAUUGAGAAUUGGCAAUGGAUAUUCUAUGGUCUGGAUGAGCUAGAUUUAAGCCGAGUUGUCUACCUUCAAAUUUGUGCAUCAAGGAGUGAAGCUACUAUAAACACUUAUGUUGAUUAAAAUUUUCAGCUAUGUGUGUAAAUACUUAGGAGGCCAGUUUCUGAGUCUUAGGUAAGACAAUGUUUAGUUUGAAGGUUUACUGCCAGACAAGUGAAUGGACCAUUCCAGCUAGCAGUGAAUUGAGAGUCUCGAUGGCACAUAACAGAGAGGUGACUCAGUAGCAUAGCACACACCUAGCAUUCUUGAAGCCCUAGGUUUAAGUCUAGAAGCAAAUCAGUACAAGUUCACCAAGUCAGAUGAUGCAGAGCUGUGAUCCCAUCUGCUGGAGAGGCUGAGACAGCUGGAUCACAGUUUCAACUCCAUCUUGAUUACAGAAGGUUCCUGUCAAUGUUCGGCACUAAUGUUCUAGAUUUGGACAAUAGUAAUCAGUGUAUGGUGAGGUCUCCAUACUGUUUUAGUUUGUGUUUUCUUAGCAACAGAUUUUCCCGUUUAUUUGUUUCCCAUGUAUCACCAGUGAAG